UAAUAAUUAAUUUAAAUUUCGGUUACACUCAAAUGUCGUCUGGCUUAAGAAAUAAUUAUGUUUACGAUUCGGUUAAAUUACAUGUUGAAGAAAUUAAUGAAAUUUAAUCAAAGCAAAAGCUUAUGGAAUUAAAUCGUUCGUUCGUAAUUAUCAUUACAAAAAAUUUAUCUAAAGCUUAUCCGGGAUUUUGAUACAGAAAAAUGGGGAAAAAAAGUGACGUCAAUAAUACGACCUUUCUUUCAUGACGUAACGUUUUAUAAUCACGUGAUACUUUCUCAUGAGGGAUUAGUUAACUCACCUCUGUGGUGUCGUUUGUAUCUACAUUUAUAUUGCGAAGAAAAUUACAAAUUUAAUAAUUAUUUUUCUAAAAAUUAAUGAAAAUAUUUAUAUAAAUUCUGAUACAAUACUUUUAUUAAUAAGUUAUAUUUAACUACAAGGAAAAAAUUGUAGUUAUGUGCGUGACUAUACUUUUUCACUACUGUAUUUACACAUUUACCCAUUUAUAGUGAAAUAUUGUAUUUUUUUGAGAUAUUGACUUUAAAUUAUGGGAUAGAAAGCCAUUGAGUACUCCUUCCUGCCAUCAUUCUAUAUGUUGAACAGGAAUAUAUAGCAUCUUUCUGUUGUAUCAAUAGUAAAAUAUAUAUAUUACACUCCUUUGUACUGUAAUUACUAGAUAUAUAUUGUUGGGAAUUUAUGUAUCAUAAUAGUUUUUCAUAUAUACGACCUUUAUAUUGAAAACUGGAGAGUAGUCAUGAGAUUUAUGGUAAUGGCCAUGUUGGUUUAUCAUAGUUGAAGCUACAGAUGGGAGGUGAAUGUGAUUUAUGCUGAUACUGAUGUUGGUUUGCUACCAAUGGUUUUAUAUAUAAGCUAUAAAGCAUAUGUUUGUAUGUAAAUUUAGAUGAAAAAAUCCUUAAAAAUUUAAAAAUUUAUAUUCAU